rnacentral:siRNA from 1 species
GAAAGCCUCCUUUUCGGCCUCCUC